rnacentral:rRNA from 1 species
GAGGAAUAUUGGGCAAUGCCCGCAAGGGUGACCCAGCAACGCCGCGUGGAGGAUGAAUGUCGUAAGAUUGUAAACUCCUGUUAGAGGGGAAGAAUAGUACCGGUUGGACCGGUAUAUGACUGUACCCUCAGAGAAAGCCCCGGCUUACUACGUGCCAGCAGCCGCGGUAAUACGUAGGGGGCAAGCGUUGUCCGGAUUUACUGGGUGUAAAGGGCGCGCAGGCGGGAUAAAAAGUCAGUGGUGAAAUCCUACAGCUUAACUGUAGAACUGCCUUUGAUACUUUUAUUCUUGAGUUCGGGAGAGAGAGACGGAAUUCCAGGUGUAGUGGUGAAAUACGUAGAUAUCUGGAAGAACACCAGUUGCGAAGGCGGUCUCUUGAUCCGACACUGACGCUGAGGCGCGAAAGCGUGGGGAGCAAACA